CCUACGUGUGGCAGCAGUGAGGAAUAUUGGUCAAUGGGCGCGAGCCUGAACCAGCCAAGUAGCGUGAAGGAUGACUGCCCUACGGGUUGUAAACUUCUUUUAUAAAGGAAUAAAGUGAGGCACGUGUGCCUUUUUGUGUGUACUUUAUGCAUAAGGAUCGGCUAACUCCGUGCCAGCAACCGCGGUAAUACGGAGGAUCCGAGCGUUAUCCGGAUUUAUUGGGGUUAAAGGGAGCGUAGAUGGGUUGUUAAGUCAGUUGUGAAAGUUUGCGGCUCAACCGUAAAAUUGCAAUUGAUACUGGCAGUCUUGAGUACAGUUGAGGUAGGCGGAAUUCGUGGUGUAGCGGUGAAAUGCUUAGAUAUCACGAAGAACUCCGAUUGCGAAGGCAGCUUACUAAACUGCCACUGACAUUGAUGCUCGAAAGUGUGGGUAUCAAACAGGAUUAGAUACCCCUGUAGUC
rnacentral:rRNA from 1 species